UACCUGGUUGAUCCUGCCAGUAGUCAUAUGCUUGUCUCAAAGAUUAAGCCAUGCAAGUCUAAGUACGAGCUCUCGUACAGUGAAACUGCGAAUGGCUCAUUAAAUCAGUUAUGGUUCAUUUGAUCGUACAGUUUACUUGGAUAACUGUGGUAAUUCUAGAGCUAAUACAUGCGAGAAGCGCCGACCUCGCGGGAGGCGUGCAUUUAUCAGACCAAAAACCGGCCGCGUCUUCGGGCGCGUUCGCCUUGGUGACUCUGGAUAACUUUGCGGAUCGCACGGUCUAGCACCGGCGACGGAUCAUUCAAGUGUCUGCCCUAUCAACUUUCGUCGUUACGGUAUUUGCCUACCGAGGUUCUUACGGGUGACGGGGAAUCAGGGUUCGAUUCCGGAGAGGGAGCCUGAGAAACGGCUACCACAUCCAAGGAAGGCAGCAGGCGCGCAAAUUACCCAUUCCCGACGCGGGGAGGUAGUGACGAAAAAUAACAAUGCAGGACUCGUUCGAGGCCCUGUAAUUGGAAUGAGUACACUUUAAAAGCUUUAACGAGUAUCAA
rnacentral:ncRNA from 1 species